CUUUUAGCUCAAAGAAUGAGGCAAUCGAAGAAAAAUGGGAUUCUUCUAGGUACUUGACAAUUUCUGCCAUGCCUACGAUUUCUAAUUUGCUCAAUCAACAGCAAUAUUUGCAUGUGUGUGUAUUGUAUGUCUCUUUUUGUCUCUCUAUCUGUGACUACUUUGCUCCUGCGUUUUAGGCAAAGCAUAGAUAAGAGAGGGACUUUCCAAGAUUCGAACACAGGACCUCUUGUUUGGUGAAACCCAUGUCAUUUUCUUCUUAGCAUCGCUCAAAAAAUGAGGUAUGAGAGAGAAUUGUGGUAUAUGCAUUUAAAAAUUGGAUCUUUUUUGUAUAGCCAUGUUGUUGCUGCUGCUGCUGGAAUUGCUUCUGUUUGUGCUGUUUGCUGUUAUUGCUGCUGUUGGGCUGUUUUACGAACCAAACAGCAAGGGAUCAAUGUAACAAGGGAGAAGUUAAGGCUGUGAUGGUAAUGCUAAGGAGGGGGUCUUCCCUUGUCCUAAGUAUGGUUUUCUGAUAUACUCACAAAGAUGCCUCGAUUGAAACAUCAUGGCAUGGUAACCCCGAGAGGUUGCAGCCAUGGCGGGGUAACCUGGAGAGAUUGUAGGGUACAUGAUGCGCAUCUCUAUAUGUUUUUUAUUAGAAAAUAUCGAAGCUGCGUCUGUACUGUGGCAGGGUACUAUUCUUCCACUAGACCACUUGUCCUUCUUAACAUGAUGCGCAUGUAUAUUGUCCGGAAACUAGGGGUAUCAAUGGUUCGGUUUGGCCAGUUAUUUUACAAUGAGAUCCAUAUUUUUGGGAGGUUCAAAAGAAUUAGAGAACUAUAACAUGAACCAGAAGGUCAAAUGAAAAUGGCAAAAAUCUCAAUGGUUCAAGUCUGAGGCUGCUGGGUUCAGAGAGUUGUGGGGAGUUGUUUGAGUGGUUGUCCCUCUCUGUCAUUCCUAGCAGCCAAUGAUCACUCAAUAUCUCCCAAUUUCGGACCACCCUUUAGCAAAAUAAGUUCGACGAGCCAGUGAAGAUUUUCACUCUUUACUCAUCAGAUGGUUGAGCUUUGCUAUAUCUUGGCGUGGCGCUUUUGGUUGGUCUUGAGAUAUGGGAGCUAUUUGAUUUCCGUGUCUCACAAAGGCUUCCCAUUAAGCUUGCAGCCAUGGCAGAGUUUAGCUUAUGCUUGAGAAGAGGCUAAUCUUAGCUGCCCAAGUAUCUGUAUGUUUUCAAAGAAGGAGGCUUUUUAUGGAAGUCGAGAAAGGUUGAGAUUUUCUAAGGGUGGUUAGUCUCUUCCUCUGAAGUUCAGUAUAGCCGAUGAAUUUUCCAGUACUAUUGUUACAAAGAUAAAGAUUAACAGCCCUAUCAUCAGCUAAUGCCAAUUAUGCUCUUGAUGAUGAUGACGACGACGACGAUAACCAUGGUUAUGGCAAGCAAACAACAAACAACAACAAACCCAGUUAAUCCCUCGUGUGGUGUCUUGGGAGGAGUGUAUACGCAGACCUUACCCCUACCUGGUGAAGGUAGAUAGGCAUGGUUAUUGCAAUAAGGAAAAUACAUAUUCUGCCCCCUAAGCUUGUCCCGGAGAACCUGAAUCCUUAACCCUGAACUUUGUGAUGAGGCUAUGAUGAUAUUCUCCCGGAAGCUUGAAAAUCAGAUUUUUGAGCUGAUUCGUAUCUUGGCUAGGCAAAGGCAGGGAAUUUGUGAGGUAGGUUCUUAUGUGCUUCUCACGAAGGCAUCUGCUUUUUGCAGCCAUGUCGGAUUAGCCCUUCUUUUAUGAUAGCAGUACUAAGUACGCCUUGCGUUCCAAUUUAUGUGAACUGAAAAUGUCCAAAUUGCUAUUGAAAAGUUUCUAUCUUUCCAAAGAGGCAGUGAUAUUAUUGUUAUCCUGAGCUGAAAUUGGAGGCAUGGAGAAAACCGACUCGUAUCUUGGCAGGGCAUACCGGGAUCAUGCAACUGAUUCAUUUUGCAGCCAUGGCGUUGUUGUCUUCUCUUUGCCCCAUUUUACACAGAUCUGAGCCUCAACCCUCAGUAGGAAGAAUGAGGCAUCAAAGAGAGAAAUGGGAUUUUCAGUAAAGGGUGGUUGCCCCCUCUCUGCCGUGUCCCUGAUUUCUUCAUUCAAUAAAGCAACAACCCUUUGGGAAAAAAGAAAAGAAACGUAAAAUGUUUCUGCUUCUUCUGCUACAACAGCUGAUUGCACAAAUAGCCGAUUUUAUGACCCCUUAUAUUUGCGAAGGUGACAACUGAUUUGCACAAAUAGGAUUACUGAAAUGGACUAUGAUGAUCGUUUGCUUCUUCCUGGGUUAUCUACUUUUACAUAUGUUGAGAAAGAUCUGACCCGUAUCUUGGCAGGGCAACCUGUGUAUGGCAAUCAUUUGCAAACCAGUGUCUGCAGCCACAGCCACAGUGUGGUCCCUUUCUCUUUGCAUGUUCAUAGAAUUACAGCAAAAUAUGAGCCCUAAAGGCCCAAUUGGGUUCUUCCGUUUUUUCUUGAACACCCAUUUCAGACGCAGUUCAAAAAACGAGGCAAUUGGAGAAAAAAGGGGAUUUUUUGAGGGUGUUUGACCAUCUCCAUCAUGCCUAUGAUUUCUUUUUUACUUUUAGCUCUAACCAACAGCCCUUUUUGUAUGUGAAAGAGGUCCAUAUUUACACCUGUACUACAUGAAAUGGUCUACUUUUGCGCUCCACUUAAUAGUUGAGGGCUAAUUUUGCACCUGUGUACUUUUUCUUCUCAGGUAUCAAUACAUGAUUUCAAUCCAAAAAGCACUUUGCUUGCUCAGUGAAUGUAGUUGAUAGAUUGACAUAUAAAUAGAAAAAAAUGAGGCUCUGAUCAUAAAGAUAGUGCUUUUAUCCAUACAUAUCAUGAGAAAAUGUCCAAAUUGAUCCUUUAUGAGGCAGUGAUGAUCUUUCAAUCUAUCCUCCUGAUUUAGUAAUUGAGCAUAGACAGUACCUGAACUGUAUCUUGGCAGGGCAAUGUCCCAGAUGCAUGUGAUAAAUUGUAACAUGCAACUGAGGGUAUUUGCAGCCAUGGCGUGGCCGGACUUUCUCAGUUUGAGCGUAAAUACAGCUCUGAGCCUCAGUUAUUAAAAAAAAAAUUAGAGCGUUAUAAGAUGAAGCAGAGGGGGAAAUAAGAAUGGCAAAAAUCUCAUUAGUUUAAGUCUGAGGCUGCUGGAUUCAGAGAGUUGUGGGGAGUUCUUUGAGUGGUUGCCCCUCUUUGUUAUUCUUAGCAGAUCACUGAAAGUUUCCUAAUUUCAGAACACUCUUUAGUGAAGAAGUUCAAAUAAGGCAGUGAAGAUUUUCAUUCUUUACUCAUCAGAUGGUUGAGCUUUGCUAUUUCUUGGCGUGGCAGCUUUUGGGGUCUUGUGAGAUAUAGGAGCUAUUUUGGUUUCCGUGUCUCACAAAGGCUUCUUAAGCUUGCAGCCAUGGCGGGGUUUAGCUUAUGACUGAGAAAAGGCGAAUCUGAGCCCCUCCCAAAUGUCUGAUUGUGUUCAACGAAUGAGGCUUUUUAUGGAACUCGGAGAAAGGUUGAGAUUUUCUAGGGGUGGUUACUCUCUUCCUCUGAAGUUCAGUAUAUCCAAUGAAUUAUCUUAUACUUUUGUAAUGAAGAGAGAUCACCAGCCCUUUCAUCAGCAGAAUGGCGAUUAUGGUGACGACGAUAGCCAUGGUUAUGGUAAUAAUAAGGGAAAAUACAUAUUUUGCUCCCUACACUUGUUCGGAAAAACCCAAAUCCUAAACCCUGAACUUUGUGAAUGAGGCUAUGGUGAUAUUCCAGGAAGCUUGAAAGUUGGAGUUUAUAGCUGAUUCAUAUCUUGGUUAGGCAAAGGCAGCAGUAUCUGUGAGUUAAACAGUAGUUUCUAGGGGCCCUGCUUUACCAGGCUGGGGCAACUCUUUACCAAAAACAGAGGUCUCCGCAAAGUCGUGAAUGAAGGGAAUAUCUUAUCGAGGAAGAAUCCUCAUUUCAGAAGAUAUGAAACGAGUCCAGAGAGAAAGGAAGUGAAUAUUGAGGAUUCAUAUACUGUCUUAUAACCAGGGGUACUAUUGAAGCUAGUUGUUGCUGCAGUUAUCUACACAAUAUUCAAAUUUUCAUGCCUUUGUUUCAAUCUUGAAUACUUGAAGUUUCAGAGGCAGUGAAGAUUAUAUACAAUGAAAAUGAAAAGUGAAGAAGAUUAGAGUUGAUUCAUGGCCUGGCUUGGUGAGUCCAAUCGGAAGGUCUUUUUUAUAAGGCAACCGUAGAUUGUGCAGUCAUGGCAGUGUUAACUCUGCUCUUUUUUCCUUUUCUUUUUUUGAUUAAAUAGGCGAAAAUCUGAGCCUCAUUCUUAACGUAGUUUAUGUACACUUUUACUAGUCUUUCUGGAAAUAGAUUUUGAUUACCUUCAUUAUGGAACCACUGAAGUCAACAGCUUUGGCUUCCAACUCUAAAUCCUAAAGAGAAAUAGGGUUUCUGGGUUGAGUACAAGCAUUUGUUAUAUUGCCAGUUCGAGUGGCUUUCAACGAUCUUGAUAAGGAGCUUGAGUUUUCUCCUUCGGACUUAAAAUUCAGUCUUGAUUGGGUUGAUGGAAAUUGGAUCUGCCCGCAUGAAAAGAUGGAAUGGCAGUUUAUAGGCAUCCACAAAUACAAGAAGGAAAAACCAGCUUAUGUUGGACAUCCAAAAGGGGGUUGCACGCCAUAUGUUGCAUUGCCUCAGCUUCACUACUUGCGUGAGGCCUCAAAGAUGCAAUUCUGAUUCUUGGCUACUGAAGUUCAGAGCUAUUGCUUUGUUCUUGAAUGCUAUUUGCUAUCAAUUGCACCAUGAUCUUUCUUUUUCUCACCCAAUAGUGUUGAUUAAUAUGGACGAUAUGUCUGUUGACAAAUUUUGUGCUAAAUAUUUUGCAAUUGCUGCAGCAUCCACUGGGUGAUGAUCAUGAGGUCAACCAUAUGCUGAAAUACGGAAUGUAUUGUACAGCAAACUCUAUUUGUGAAUGAUCUUUUGUCCCGCUGGAAUGUCUUUCUCAUAAAAGGCAACUGAUAAUUGCAGCCAUGGCAGUGUAAACUCUCUUCUUUCCUGCGAUCAAAUAGGCGAAAAAUCGAAGCCUCAUCUUUUACUUGGUUUAUUUACAUUCUUUUUUGUCAGUCUUUCUGGAAAUAGUUUUAGAUUAGAAAUAUUUGAAUUAGGCUGUACACGUGUGAUCUGAAACAUUUUGGAGCUAGAUGUUAAUUUGAGACCUAUAUAUGGUGCUCGAGUCUAGGAACAUCUUUGCUGAUGUUAAUCUGGAUGUUAAAAUGAUUCACUUUCAAAUACAAUUUUCUAAAACUAAUUUGGUAAAAUAAUUUGCUCAAACUAUUGUUUUUCUAGA